rnacentral:rRNA from 1 species
AACGAACGCUGGCGGCAGGCUUAACACAUGCAAGUCGAACGGUUGUAGCAAUACAGCAGUGGCGCACGGGUGAGUAACGCGUGGAUAUCUGCCUUUUGGUUCGGAAUAACUCCGGGAAACUGGAGCUAAUACCGGAUGGUUCCUGCGGGAUAAAGAUUUAUCGCCAAAAGAUGAGUCCGCGUACGAUUAGCUAGUUGGUGAGGUAAUGGCUCACCAAGGCGACGAUCGUUAGCUGGUCUGAGAGGACGAUCAGCCACACUGGGACUGAGACACGGCCCAGACUCCUACGGGAGGCAGCAGUGGGGAAUAUUGGACAAUGGGGGCAACCCUGAUCCAGCCAUGCCGCGUGAGUGAUGAAGGCCUCGG